GCAUACUGCGCCUGGCGGGCAGCUGCUCAGGGUCACUCUGCCGGCACAGGUACUCCGCCGCGGCCCGGGCCGGGAAUUCAGUCUCACACACGUAGCCGAAAUCCCGCGCCAAGUGAACGGCCUCCCCUGAGCAAGAGUAUCGUAAAGACAUUAGAUACGAUGGCAUACCUGAAUGUCAUCGAUCCCGUGAUGGCUCACCGCUUGCAUCAGAGAUCCGUCUCCAAGCGCUGCUGCCCCCUCCCCCAGUCCGUGAAGAAGACGGGGCACACCUGGGUACUCCCGCCUGGGGUCAAGGCUCAAAGCACGGGCGGGGGAAAGUACGGAGGCUGGAAUUCUGAGGCCGGUGUGUGACACAGUGGCGGAGCCGACGAGUAGGCCGCCUGGUUCAGAGAGGAGAGCUGAGAUAGCCGGCCGCCCGGAGACGAGCUGGUCUUCACGAAAAAACGCCGGCAAAGUUAAAAUCCAGAGUUCUUUCGUCUAUCUAGAAGAUCCAUUAAGCCAGAAGGGGCGUCUGAUAUUUUAUUUGUACCACAGUUUACCCCCACGUGCGGUUGUGGAUGCUAUUCGAUGCGCUAAAAGAGGGUGACAAAGUGUCUUCGACACUCCAUGAGCGCUACUUAUAGUUUUCUGAGCGCCCUUCGUAAAGCAGUGGGUGG